rnacentral:lncRNA from 1 species
GCAAGAACAACAAAUUGCGGUAUCGCGAGUUACUGUGUGUGGGGGUGAGAGAGAUGAUGGAGAUGAGAGAGAAACAUUAGAUAAGUGAGAAGGUAGAUUAUGUUUAUGUGAGUGUUUUUGAUUUUUUUUUUCAAUCGGGACUAUUGUAGGGAUGAGAGAGAGAAUGUUAGAGUUAGUGAGAUAAAAGAGAAAUGAUUGAAAUGAAUGAAGGAUGAGAGACAGAGGUGAGUAAGGAUUUGAGAGUUUCUUAUUUUUUUAGUUUUGAGAAUGAAAAUUAUUCAAAUACUCUUGACCUUAAAAUUUAAAAUUCAUAAUAUAUGAGGGUAUUUUUGUCUACUGAAUACAUUUUGCUAAAAUAUACCCAAAAAAAGACUUACUUAUAUUAGCAAGAAUAUCAACGUGGAUUAAUAUGCCAUCCUAUCUCUAGUAAUU